GUGGGACAUUUUAAAGAUUUAUAUUCUAUA
rnacentral:piRNA from 1 species